rnacentral:lncRNA from 1 species
UUCUUGAGCUGACUGUAAUCAUCUCCUUGAACCGUUAUAAUCUUACCUUCGUAGGGGAAUUUGACCUUUUGGUGCAAAGAGGAAGGUACUGCUUUGGUGUGGUGUAUCCAUGGCCGCCCUAACAGCAGGUUGAAACUGGUGGGCACAUCAAUGACUUGGAACGGUACCUCCAUUAUGGCCGGCCCAAUUACUAAUUUUAGUGUAACAACCUCCAAUACUUCUCUCCGGGUGCUGUCAUAUGCUUUCACUAUCUG